CUUCCCAAAUCUAUAGCGGGAAGUAAUGGCGCCUUAAUGAAUUAUCAAACUUCAAUCUUUUAAGACGAUUCCAAUUCACUUUACUCUCCUUGAACCGCUGAUCUCAUCUCUCAGUCUCUCUUUAGCGCGACGACACCCGGAUCCACGUCGAACUCUCUCUGAGUCUCACUUGCCCUCAAUAGAAAUCUGAUCGGACUCAGCGUGAGGUAGAGCAUGUCGAACCGAAAUUCUCACCUGCGACCCGCCGGAAGCAAGGUUUCCCAAAACCCCAAAAGAUCUUCGUCCCCAGGAAUCCAGACCACAACAAUCCAAUCCCUCGAGAGCCCAAUCCAAAUCCCAAUCCCACGCUCUUCACCUCAAUCCACCAAUCGCUCUUCAAGCAGCAAUCCAGUGCCCGAAACUUCCACUGCUGCUACGGCGCAGCCGUCGGGGAGCAGGGUUCAGAUGUGGGAGAAAGGUGAGUGGGUGCCGAGCAGAGCUCGGGAUGGCAAUUUCGUAAAUUACUUGCCCCAGUACGAGGCGGUGGCGGCUGGGCUCGGUGCUGACGAAGGCGAAUUGAACGCCCUGGAGUCGCGGCGAGUGGUGGAUCUUCUUAACAGAGAGCUCUCUCGCUAGCUGAAGUUAAACCUAAGGAGUUUUGGCGACAAGGCAUCCCAGCAAGUUGCUAAGCCCCUUUACGAAGAUGCUAAGGAUGGCAAGCGCGUGAUACUGUUCUCUUAUGGAAGUGGCUCAACUGCAACCAUGUUCUCAUUGCGUCUCAAUGCUGAUCAACGGCCCUUUAGCUUGGAGAACAUUGCAGCCCUGAUGAAAGUUGAAGGCAAGACAUGAUGUACUAGUUCAUUUCCUUCUUUUUCUAUAAGCAUUGUCGUACCAUUCAAUGUACGGACAAGUUUUCUUUUUCUCAAGUAAUGCUUGCAUCUUUACGUAAUCUUGGUUACAAUGUGAUUCCAAUAAAUCAUAAUGCUCAUAACUUUGUUUUUGAACUUGCCAUGUUGAAAUCCUUGGCACCACGAAAGCCAUUUUUCCUCUGCCCUGAACUUUGUCAUGCAUGAUAUGCAUUUAAUAAAAUCACUAAACCCCAUAUAACGAAUGAUUACACCACGUUUAAUUGAGUGCAAUUGAAAUAUUAGACCAUGUAUUAUCCAAUGGAAGGUUGGUCGAAUUAUAACGCUUGAUAAAUUAGAAAAGCACCUCGGUAAGGAAUUCAUUUAUCGAACAGAUGCUUUUCAUGCAGUUCUCUCCGGAGAAGUUUGUUGAAGUGAUGAAGAUCAUGGAGCACAGGUAUGGAGGCAUAGACUUUGUGAGCCACCAUAGAUGAUGAUAUUUUUUUUUUCCUAUUUAUUAGUGUUAAGCUACGCCUUUUCUGUUUGUUGGUGUUAUUAUUAGUGUUCGUUCUCAUAUAUAUCAGCUGCUCAGUUGCUUGUAAGCAUUGGCUUUUACUUCCUUUUAUGUUAGAUACAAAAUAGUUAAAAGCUUAUGUUAUAGUUUGAUGAUUGUGGCCUUGCACUGAUCUUUAAGUAACUUUUUUCCAACUAGUGAAACUUGUACCUGGGAUAAACUUACCUCUACCAACACGUGAGUUUUUUCUUCUCGAUGAUGCACUUCUUAGUACAACCACAUGGCCAAUUGAACUCGUCUCCUUUUACUAGCUCUUGACUGAAAGAUACUAAUUUUGGUAGUGAUGGUUCACUAAAUUUAUAUCAAUUUCGACUUUAGUAUUUCUUGUUUUUCUAUUACUUACUAGCUAUACAUAUUUUGGUCCUAUAGGUUUGAGAAUUAGCCCAACACUUCUUAAGGAAUUGCUUUGUUUUUUGUUGGUAUGGUGCACUUUUGUGAUCACUUGGAUGCUCUUUGGACAUGGAGAAUGUGCUUGGGAGAUUGCUUUUUUGGUAUGAUGCUGCUUUGUAGUCAUCAUUAGUUUUCUUUGUCAACUUUAGGAUGUACAGCAGUUGUAAGAGGAACAAAACAAUUCAAAUUUUUUGUUUGUGUGAAAACUUCCAAUUGUACUGUAAUUGACAAUUUCUACUAAUUAAUCCAAGUAUUUUGAGUUUAAUGUGCUUA